ACCAAAUUUCAUCCUUGGCCUAUGAACGCAGCUGUAACCCCAACGGUCUGAUCUUCCUCGUGAGGCUGCACGCGCUCCUUCAUUCCUUUGGCUGUAAGCGGUUUCACCUGUCACAGUUCAGAGCAACAGCGGGCUCACCUGAGCCGGAAGGACACCGGUUAAACAGGUGUUUCGGGAUCUGUGACAUCCUGCCCUGGGCAGAGACAUACGUCAGCCCGUGGCAAUGUUAAACUUUGGUGGGUGUGUCAGUGUCUGUUGGUCUAAGUGGUUUAUGGGGAGCAGACUUUUUACACUUUGCAGACUGAGGUUUAAGAUUGGGAGUUGUUCGGCAUCUCCUGUCUAUAUAUAUAUAUAUGGACAUUUAUGUGGUUAUGGAAUGAAAGAGGAAGAUUUCCUUGAAAGGUAUGUGCCUGUCAUGUCACACAGGUUUUCUGGCUGCGGUGUUUUAAAUUGAAGUACAUUUGAGACUAAGUAUCUCUCUCUUUCCUCCCACAAUCUAAAGACAUGCAGUUAGGUUCACUGAUGAUUUUACAUUGCCUGUAAGUGUGAAUGUGAGUGUGGAUGAUUUUGUCUUCUUGUGUUAGCCCUGCGACAGAUUAGUGACCUGUCCAGGGUGUACUCUGCCUCUCACCCUAUGGUAGCUGGGAUAGGCUCCAGCACUCCAGCUAUCUUGAAUUGGAUUCAGGCAUUCAGCAGGUUGGAUGGAUGUGCUGCAGCUUGGGAUUUUUUGUAAACAGUUUAAACCCUUCUUACAAUUUGUUUUUCAGGCAAAUAAUGACUUGUGAUCACAAACUCGUAAA